rnacentral:rRNA from 1 species
CACACUAUCGCAUGAUAGAGUGUGAAAAACUCCGGUGGUGUGAGAUGGACCCGCGAUCUGAUUAGCCAGUUGGCAGGGUAACGGCCUACCAAAGCAACGAUCAGUAGCCGGCCUGAGAGGGUGAACGGCCACAUUGGGACUGAGACACGGCCCAAACUCCUACGGGAGGCAGCAGUGGGGGAUAUUGCACAAUGGGGGAAACCCUGAUGCAGCGACGCCGCGUGAGUGAUGAAGUAUCUCGGUAUGUAAAGCUCUAUCAGCAGGGAAGAAAAUGACGGUACCUGACUAAGAAGCUCCGGCUAAAUACGUGCCAGCAGCCGCGGUAAUACGUAUGGAGCAAGCGUUAUCCGGAUUUACUGGGUGUAAAGGGAGCGUAGACGGUGAUGCAAGUCUGAUGUGAAAGGUGUGGGCUCAACCCGCAAACUGCAUUGGAAACUGUGUUACUUGAGUGUCGGAGAGGUAAGUGGAAUUCCUAGUGUAGCGGUGAAAUGCGUAGAUAUUAGGAGGAACACCAGCGGCGAAGGCGGCUUACUGGACGAUAACUGACGUUGAGGCUCGAAAGCGUGGGGAGCAAACAGGA